rnacentral:lncRNA from 1 species
CUUCUGGUGAAUCCUUCAAAAAUAGGGCUACAUCCCCAGGAAGUAACUCUUCCAGCAAAGAAUAAAAGUGUAAAUCUUUUUCAAAAUCACAGUCUCUAGAAAUGCUUUAUGCACAUAAUAAUUCCUCAAAAAAGUGUCAGAUAACCUGGCAGGGGAGGAAGCUUUCCAUCCCAUGUGUGCAAAGCAGUGUAGUCAUUAACUUAUUGACUGAAUUGAUCUGACUUUUAAAAGACUCCCUGGCUUGGCAUCAGUAUUCUGUUUAUCUCACAAGCAAUGAAUCUCCUCUUCCUCCCUAUGUGUAAAUACUUAAUAGCUGUUAACUUAAAAGGUCAAACCUUGCUGGAUCCAUAAGUAUUGUACUUCAAGGAUGAAUUGGGAAGUCCACUGACUGCCUUCAGUGCUGCCUUUGGCUUGAUUUUGUAAUUUUACAUCUUUGUCCUUACACCGGAGUCUGAUCCAGGAAACCAGGGAGUACUUCAGGCUCUUCCAUUGAAAUGCUUGAGGCUGAAAGUUAGCUGAAUGCAAAAAGAAUCAAGAAACAGAGAAACAUUCCAUGGUCCUUAAAACCCAAAGGAGUGAUUCCUUCAGUGCUGCCACACCAGUGGAGAUUGCAGCAGGGUCUCCUUCCACACCAGUGGCUACACUGGAGCAGAUUCUCUGGCUCUGGUUCCUGUCCCUGGGAGUUGUCCUGGAUAGAUGGCUGUGAGGAGGUGGGAAGAAAUGCACAGCAGUCCUGUGUUCACUCACUUGGCUGCCAAACAUGCACAUUUCACUGCUUUCUUGAGAGCACUUUCCUGCUGUGGAAAUGUGAUAUGCCUGACUAGGUAGGCCAACAGCUGUGUGAUUGUCCAUCUGCUGCUUCUCCAGAUUAAAUAUUAGCC